rnacentral:rRNA from 1 species
UAAGUCGUAACAAGGUCUCCGUAGGUGAACCUUGCGGAGGGAUCAUUACCGAGAGAGGGCGCCCGCGCGCCCGACCUCCCAACCCUCUGUCGACCGUUACCGCGUUGCCUCGGGGCCGCCCUCGCGGGCGCCCCAGAGGACACCAAUCGAAACUCUGCAUCUCAUGCGUCGGAGUCAUUAUGGUGAAUCAAUCAAAAACUUUCAACAACGGAUCUCUUGGUGUUCUGGCAUCGAUGAAGAACGCAGCGAAAUGCGAUAAGUAAUGUGAAUUGCAGAAUUCAGUGAAUCAUCGAAUCUUUGAACGCACAUUGCGCCCUUUGGCAUUCCGAAGGGGGCAUGCCCGUUCGAGCGUCCAUUACACCACUCAGAGCCUGGCUUCGGUAUUGGGCGUCGGGACUGCACCCGCGCCUCUAUGUGUUGUUCGGGCUGGACGGUUGGAAUCUCAGCGUUGUGUUUCAAUCAAUCCGCUGUGCGAGACCUGACGACUGGACGCGCCGUGAAAAUCUCAUCCACAGGGUUGACCUCGGAUCGGGUAGGGAUACCCGCUAAGAACUUAA